AUUGAACGCUGGCGGCAGGCCUAACACAUGCAAGUCGAGCGGCGGCGGGAAGUAGCUUGCUACUUUGCCGGCGAGCGGCGGACGGGUGAGUAAUGUCUGGGAAACUGCCCGAUGGAGGGGGGUAACUACUGGAAACGGUAGCUAAUACCGCAUAACGUCGCAAGACCAAAGAGGGGGACCUUCGGGCCUCUUGCCAUCGGCUGUUCCCAGAUGGGAUUAGCUAGUAGGUGGGGUAAUGGCUCACCUAGGCGACGAUCCCUAGCUGGUCUGAGAGGAUGACCAGCCACACUGGAACUGAGACACGGUCCAGACUCCUACGGGAGGCAGCAGUGGGGAAUAUUGCACAAUGGGCGCAAGCCUGAUGCAGCCAUGCCGCGUGUAUGAAGAAGGCCUUCGGGUUGUAAAGUACUUUCAGCGGGGAGGAAGGCGAUGGAGUUAAUAGCUUCAUCGAUUGACGUUACCCGCAGAAGAAGCACCGGCUAACUCCGUGCCAGCCGCCGCGGUAA
rnacentral:rRNA from 1 species